ensembl:lncRNA
UGAAUAUAGUCGCCCCCGAAAGCAUUUCUCAUUUCCAUAUAUCCUGUUUCACAUCUCUCUCUGUAUUAUACAUAAUAACAGGUGGCAGGUUUAAAGAACUCUUAACCGUGAUCCAAUGAAUGUGCUGCUGGUGCCUUAUGUUUGUACUUUUGGUUGGAAUGACAAUGAACGACAUUUCUUGUCGUCUCUCUUGACCUACAGUUAACAGAUGCAGGAACAAGGAGAAACAGACAAACACUUGGAUUACCCAGAAGAAGCACCAGAUCUCAGAAGGUGAAGAUGAUUUGUGCUAUGCCACCUUGUCCCAUGCUGGUGCUCCUCCAUCCUACUCAGUCAAGUUUGAACAAGGCCAUGACUAUGCCACAGUGGUCAUAUACUGACCAGCAUUGCCGAACUGAAUGGACAUGAAAGGACUUCCAAAUGGAUAGAUUGCUUGACUUUAACACCUACAUUUCAAUUUUCUUUCCAAGAAAUCAUUUGCAUAAAUCUAUUUGCAAUGUAGUUUUGAUUAUCCAAUUUGUCACAUUAAGAGAACAAUAAAGUUUUUGUAUUCCAC